GACAGAGGGUGCAAACGUUGUUCGGAAUCACUGGGCGUAAAGCGCACGUAGGCGGAUGUUUAAGUCAGGGGUGAAAUGCCGAGGCUCAACCUUGGAACUGCCUUUGAUACUGGGCAUCUGGAGUCCGGGAGAGGUGAGUGGAACUGCGAGUGUAGAGGUGAAAUUCGUAGAUAUUCGCAAGAACACCAGUGGCGAAGGCGGCUCACUGGCCCGGUACUGACGCUGAGGUGCGAAAGCGUGGGGAGCAAACAGG
rnacentral:rRNA from 1 species